rnacentral:rRNA from 1 species
ACAACGAAGAGUUUGAUCCUGGCUCAGGAUGAACGCUAGCGACAGGCUUAACACAUGCAAGUCGAGGGGCAGCGGGGGUAGCAAUACCCGCCGGCGACCGGCGCACGGGUGAGUAACGCGUAUGCAACUUACCUAUCAGAGGGGGAUAACCCGGCAAAGUCGGACUAAUACCGCAUGAAGCAGGGGCCCCGCAUGGGGAUAUUUGCUAAAGAUUCAUCGCUGAUAGAUAGGCAUGCGUUCCAUUAGGCAGUUGGCGGGGUAACGGCCCACCAAACCGACGAUGGAUAGGGGUUCUGAGAGGAAGGUCCCCCACAUUGGUACUGAGACACGGACCAAACUCCUACGGGAGGCAGCAGUGAGGAAUAUUGGUCAAUGGCCGAGAGGCUGAACCAGCCAAGUCGCGUGAGGGAUGAAGGUUCUAUGGAUCGUAAACCUCUUUUAUAAGGGAAUAAAGUGCGGGACGUGUCCCGUUUUGUAUGUACCUUAUGAAUAAGGAUCGGCUAACUCCGUGCCAGCAGCCGCGGUAAUACGGAGGAUCCGAGCGUUAUCCGGAUUUAUUGGGUUUAAAGGGUGCGUAGGCGGCCUUUUAAGUCAGCGGUGAAAGUCUGUGGCUCAACCAUAGAAUUGCCGUUGAAACUGGGGGGCUUGAGUAUGUUUGAGGCAGGCGGAAUGCGUGGUGUAGCGGUGAAAUGCAUAGAUAUCACGCAGAACCCCGAUUGCGAAGGCAGCCUGCCAAGCCAUGACUGACGCUGAUGCACGAAAGCGUGGGGAUCAAACAGGAUUAGAUACCCUGGUAGUCCACGCAGUAAACGAUGAUCACUAGCUGUUUGCGAUACACUGUAAGCGGCACAGCGAAAGCGUUAAGUGAUCCACCUGGGGAGUACGCCGGCAACGGUGAAACUCAAAGGAAUUGACGGGGGCCCGCACAAGCGGAGGAACAUGUGGUUUAAUUCGAUGAUACGCGAGGAACCUUACCCGGGUUUGAACGCAUUCGGACCGAGGUGGAAACACCUUUUCUAGCAAUAGCCGUUUGCGAGGUGCUGCAUGGUUGUCGUCAGCUCGUGCCGUGAGGUGUCGGCUUAAGUGCCAUAACGAGCGCAACCCUUGCCACUAGUUACUAACAGGUAAAGCUGAGGACUCUGGUGGGACUGCCAGCGUAAGCUGCGAGGAAGGCGGGGAUGACGUCAAAUCAGCACGGCCCUUACAUCCGGGGCGACACACGUGUUACAAUGGCGUGGACAAAGGGAGGCCACCUGGCGACAGGGAGCGAAUCCCCAAACCACGUCUCAGUUCGGAUCGGAGUCUGCAACCCGACUCCGUGAAGCUGGAUUCGCUAGUAAUCGCGCAUCAGCCAUGGCGCGGUGAAUACGUUCCCGGGCCUUGUACACACCGCCCGUCAAGCCAUGGGAGCCGGGGGUACCUGAAGUCCGUAACCGCGAGGAUCGGCCUAGGGUAAAACUGGUGACUGGGGCUAAGUCGUAACAAGGUAGCCGUACCGGAAGGUGCGGCUGGAACACCUCCUUU